rnacentral:rRNA from 1 species
UUUUCAGCAGCCGCGGUAAUACGUAGGUGACAAGCGUUGUCCGGAUUUACUGGGCGUAAAGAGCGCGCAGGCGGUCGUUCAAGUCGAGUGUGAAAGCCCCCGGCUCAACUGGGGAGGGUCAUUCGAUACUGAUCGACUCGAAGGCAGGAGAGGGAAGUGGAAUUCCCGGUGUAGUGGUGAAAUGCGUAGAUAUCGGGAGGAACACCAGUGGCGAAGGCGACUUCCUGGCCUGUUCUUGACGCUGAGGCGCGAAAGCUAGGGGAGCAAACGGGAUUAGAUACCCGCGUAGUCC